UACACCUAUUAAGUCGUCGGCAGCGUCAGAUGUGUAUAAGAGACAGAUAUAGAAUCGGUAGGGGAGCUUCCCAUGGGCGGUGAAGCCGCCGGGCGACCGGCGGUGGAGCGCAUGGGAGUGAGAAUGCUGGCAUGAGUAGCGAGAGACGAGAGAGUAACUCGUCCGCCGUGAACCCGAGGUUUCCUGGGCAAGGCUAAUCCUCCCAGGGUCAGUCGGGGGCUAAGGCGAGGCCGGUAGGCGUAGCCGACGCGCAGCAGGCAGACAUUCCUGCACCGCGCACGCGGCGCUACGACCGACGGGGCGACGGAUGGGGGUGGCUCGGCGGGGUUCUGGACGUCCCCGUGAUGGAGCGCGGCCCGCGGACCAGGGAAAUCCGGUCCGCAUCAAGGGCGAGGCUCCGGACGAAGCGACUGAGCGAAGCGAGUGAGCCCGAGGUCCCUAGAAAAACCCCUAGGCAGGCGCGUGCGCGCCCGUACCGCAAACCGACACAGGUGGGUGGGUAGAACAUACCGAGGCGAUCGGGUCAACCAUGGUCAAGGAACUCGGCACAAUGGCCCCGUAACUUCGGGAGAAGGGGUGCCCGCGCGUACGUGAACCGGCUUGCCCGGGGAGCGGAGGCGGGCCGCAGUGGAGAGGCCCAAGCGACUGUUUACCAAAAACACAGGACUCUGCAGAAGCCGCAAGGCGACGUAUAGGGUCUGACGCCUGCCCGGUGCCGGAAGGUCACGCGGAGGAGUUAGCCGUCAAGGCGAAGCCCCGAAGCCAAGCCCCGGUAAACGGCGGCCGUAACUAUAACGGUCCUAAGGUAGCGAAAUUCCUUGUCGGGUAAGUUCCGACCUGCACGAAAGGCGCAACGACUUGGGCGCUGUCUCGACCAUGGACCCGGUGAAAUUGCACUGGUCGUGAAGAUGCGACUUACCCGCGGAAGGACGGAAAGACCCCGUGAACCUUCACUGCAGCUUGGCAUUGGCCGCUGGUCCCGCGUGUAGAGGAUAGGCAGGAGGCAUCGAUCCGGAGGCGCCAGCCCCCGGGGAGCCGCCCUUGGAAUACUGCCCUCGCGCGACCGGCGUCCUAACCCGAGGCCGUCAACCGGCUCGGGGACCGUGCCAGGCGGGCAGUUUGACUGGGGCGGUCGCCUCCUAAAGGGUAACGGAGGCGCGCGAAGGUCCGCUCGGGACGGUCGGCAACCGUCCUUUUGAAUGCAAGAGUACAAGCGGGCUUGACUGCGAGGCCCACAAGCCGAGCAGGUGCGAAAGCAGGCUCUAGUGAUCCGGCGGCCCCGAGUGGGUGGGCCGUCGCUCAACGGAUAAAAGGUACUCCGGGGAUAACAGGCUGAUCUUGCCCAAGAGUCCACAUCGACGGCAAGGUUUGGCACCUCGAUGUCGGCUCAUCGCAUCCUGGGGCUGAAGUCGGUCCCAAGGGUUGGGCUGUUCGCCCAUUAAAGCGGUACGCGAGCUGGGUUCAGA
rnacentral:rRNA from 1 species